rnacentral:rRNA from 1 species
AGUGGCGGACGGGUGAGUAACACGUAAGAAUUUGCCUUUAGGAGGGGGAUAACAACUGGAAACGGUUGCUAAUACCCCAUACGCUUUCGAGUGAAAUGGAUUUCCGCCUAAAGAGAAGCUUGCGGCUGAUUAGCUUGUUGGUAGGGUAAUGGCCUACCAAGGCGACGAUCAGUAUCUGGUUUGAGAGGACGAUCAGACACACUGGAACUGAGACACGGUCCAGACUCCUGCGGGAGGCAGCAGUAGGGAAUUUUCCGCAAUGGGCGAAAGCCUGACGGAGCAAUACCGCGUGAGGGAUGACUGCCUAUGGGUUGUAAACCUCUUUUUUCAGGGAGGAACAAAAUGACGUGUACCUGAAGAAUAAGCAUCGGCUAACUCCGUGCCAGCAGCCGCGGUAAGACGGAGGAUGCAAGUGUUAUCCGGAAUUACUGGGCGUAAAGCGUCUGUAGGUGGCUCGAUAAGUCAACUGUUAAAUCUUGAAGCUCAACUUCAAAAUCGCAGUCGAAACUAUCGGACUAGGGUAUAGUAGAGGUAAAGGGAAUUUCCAGUGGAGCGGUGAAAUGCGUAGAUAUUGGAAAGAACACCGAUGGCGAAAGCACUUUACUAGGCUAUUACUGACACUCAGAGACGAAAGCUAGGGUAGCAAAUGGGAUUAGAUACCCCAGUAGUCCUAGCCGUAAACAAUGGAUACUAGGUGUU